rnacentral:lncRNA from 1 species
UCCUGCUUUCUGCUAAAGGACCUAAAAUUAUAUUGGAAAUAUCAUCAAAGGAUAAAUCAUACUGGAUCUUCUUUUGGUUACAUUUAUAGGGUAGGAGCUGCCACUCAGUGACCAUGUCAAGGGCACGUUGGCUCUCAGCCCCAGCCACUCUCCCAUGGCCAGCACACAAGGCCACCACAGCCUGGUCCUGACGUGAUACCCAAGACCGGUGGGUACGAGGGGCAUCUGCUUCACUGCUUCUCAAUAUUGGACCAGUUUCUUAAAACUAUUUUCCAGGAAUAGACAAACCCUACCUGCAAACCAAGAAGACAGAUUUUGGCCUAUGUUUAGCAAUAUUCUCUUGCCAUGAUGGAGAGUAUCCUCUCAUGAACAACGAUUAUAAAUCUGUCAAUCACCCUAUGUAACUUCUCAAAUGAAGCAGCUAAAGCCAUAGCUGCCCAAUAAAAAUCUUUAAACUCUUUAGCCACAGUAGUAAUGGAUAACAGAAUACCCCUAGACUAAGUAUUGGUGGAACAGGAAAGAGUUUCUAUGGUAGCUAACAUAUCAUGUUGUGUUUACAUCAAUACAUCUUCUGAAGUUGAAACACACAUGAAAUAAGAAGACAACAAGCUAAUUAAUCACAACAAAUUCCCAGGGAAGAACCAGGUGCCAACUAGUUCUCAGAUAUAUUUUUCUGAAUCCCACAUAGAAUUCAAUGUAUGCCCCCAAGCCAUAUGAAAAUUAAGACUUUACCUAUUACUAAUGCUCAUUUUUG